GCGUCUUUCGCGGGAGAGACUGGUCCCGGCUAAGCCCGGAUCCGGCGCCGAAGGAGCAACCGCCCCGGAAACUCUCAGGCAAAUGGACCGCGAAAAGGCA
rnacentral:ncRNA from 2 species